AGGGUUCGAUUAUGGCUCAGGAUGAACGCUGGCGGCGUGCCUAACACAUGCAAGUCGAACGGAGUCGUUUUGGAAAAUCCUUCGGGAUUGGAAUUCUCGACUUAGUGGCGGACGGGUGAGUAACGCGUGAGCAAUCUGCCUUUAAGAGGGGGAUAACAGUCGGAAACGGCUGCUAAUACCGCAUAAAGCAUUAAAUUCGCAUGUUUUUGAUGCCAAAGGAGCAAUCCGCUUUUAGAUGAGCUCGCGUCUGAUUAGCUGGUUGGCGGGGUAACGGCCCACCAAGGCGACGAUCAGUAGCCGGACUGAGAGGUUGAACGGCCACAUUGGGACUGAGACACGGCCCAG
rnacentral:rRNA from 1 species